rnacentral:rRNA from 1 species
CGGGACACGUGGUAUCCUGUCUGAAUAUGGGGGGACCAUCCUCCAAGGCUAAAUACUCCUGACUGACCGAUAGUGAACCAGUACCGUGAGGGAAAGGCGAAAAGAACCCCGGCGAGGGGAGUGAAAAAGAACCUGAAACCGUGUACGUACAAGCAGUGGGAGCACGCUUAGGCGUGUGACUGCGUACCUUUUGUAUAAUGGGUCAGCGACUUAUAUUCUGUAGCAAGGUUAACCGAAUAGGGGAGCCGAAGGGAAACCGAGUCUUAACUGGGCGUUAAGUUGCAGGGUAUAGACCCGAAACCCGGUGAUCUAGCCAUGGGCAGGUUGAAGGUUGGGUAACACUAACUGGAGGACCGAACCGACUAAUGUUGAAAAAUUAGCGGAUGACUUGUGGCUGGGGGUGAAAGGCCAAUCAAACCGGGAGAUAGCUGGUUCUCCCCGAAAGCUAUUUAGG